rnacentral:rRNA from 1 species
ACUCCUACGGGAGGCAGCAGUGGGGAAUAUUGCACAAUGGGCGCAAGCCUGAUGCAGCCAUGCCGCGUGUGUGAAGAAGGCCUUCGGGUUGUAAAGCACUUUCAGUCGUGAGGAAGGUAGUGUAGUUAAUAGCUGCAUUAUUUGACGUUAGCGACAGAAGAAGCACCGGCUAACUCCGUGCCAGCAGCCGCGGUAAUACGGAGGGUCCAAGCGUUAUCCGGAUUUAUUGGGUUUAAAGGGUCCGCAGGCGGGAUAUUAAGUCAGUGGUGAAAGCCUACAGCUUAAACUGUAGCACUGCCAUUGAUACUGGUAUUCUUGAGUGUGGUUGAAGUGGGCGGAAUAUGUCAUGUAGCGGUGAAAUGCAUAGAUAUGACAUAGAACACCUAUUGCGAAGGCAGCUCACUAAGCCAUUACUGACGCUCAGGGACGAAAGCGUGGGUAGCAAACAGGAUUAGAUACCCUGGUAGGAUAGCGU